rnacentral:lncRNA from 1 species
CACCAACGGAAAACGGUGUUUUUGUGAAUGAAGAUUAUAUUACUCGAUACAGUGAUUAUAAUGUAUCGAAACUUAUUUUUACAUGGUGAGAAUACACUUUUGUGUAAUGAUUUGAUGUGUUGUCAUAAAAAUCAUAUAUUUUAUUUUAUUUGUGAAAUACACGCACAGGCACUUGCAUGUUUCUUUCUAUCCAUGCAGGAACAUAUAUAUUAUGUUAGAUAUACUGUUCCCAGAUCCAUUGGAGGACCCACUAUCAACGUAAAUGUACGUUGAUAGUGGGUCUUCCCAUGGAUACAGGGAUCUCCAUGGAUGAAAAUUGAACCAUGGAGGAACUUUCACCAUUACAAACCUUGUCUACGCUGUACAGUGUAGCGCGAUCGGAAGUAUUUUAUCCCUCCAUACAAAGAUGGUGAACAUGCUAAUUCAUUGCUUAUUUAAAUUAUAUUUAUUUGAAUUUUCAUUAUAGAAUUAGAAGUAUCAAUAUUUUCAUUUAUUGCCGUUUUUAACCAUUCAAAUGCCAAGUCUUCAUGGUCCCCCCUUAGUCGAGAAUGACCAAAAGCUGUCAUGAAGGUCCCCAAGCAGAUUUCUUUUAUUUUUGGUAAUUGUUAUGGGGGUUAAAAAUCAUCUGAUGUGGAGCUUAUUUUUCGUGGACACUGUCAAAUUCAGAGCCCAUUACCGGUAUGGCUGAUUUGCAGCAACAACAAAACAAUUCGUACGGGUUAUGUAAAAGGUUAAAGAGAUUUGUAAAGCAAACGUUGACAAAUGAAAAGGUUUUUAAUGACUUUAUCUGGAAAAAUUGAUGCUGUGCAACAUGCAUCUUUCAAGUCUGAAUAGAAACCGGAAACGCGGAUGUAUCAAUUUGAUUGUAAUAUACGAAAUGAAUUCGGAAUUUAGAUACGAUAUUUCUUUACAGGAAAUAUUUAAGUUUUUACUUUUAAACUGUUAAAGCAAUUCUAAAUUAUCGUUACAGCAGUACUCGAGUUAUUUGCGAUGUAAUAAUAUUUACUGUUUUGCGUCUUAUUUUGUACUUCUUAAAAAAGGGGGAUGCUGAUUGCGUAAGUCAAAAUAAAGCACGUGUUCGACUUGUUAAACUGUUUUCUUUGUAACUGGAUUAAUUUAUUAAUUUAUUUAUUUAAUCUAAAUGAUCAUAAUCAUUUGCUGAAACUUAGUUGAUUACUUUGACAAUGGAUCGUGUAUCCUCAGAUAGUAUUCUCCUGUCUGGUUUGUUGAUCUACCUGUACAAGCUCAGGUACAAGUAAUUAGCGAUCUUAAUCCGGAUAUCCCUCAGGCGUUAGAACUGUAUUGAAUUAUAACAUAAAAAGCCUAAGGGUUAUGCAAUUACAUGCAUUUGAUUAUAAUUGAUAAAAAAUGGCGUCGGGCUACAAACAACGAUGAAGUUUUGAACGAUGGCGGAAGACAAUUUAACGAUGGCGCAAGACAAUUUAACGAUGGCGCGAGUCAUUUGACGAUGGCGCAAGACAUUUGAACGAUGGCGGGGCUCCAUCGUUAAACAGGCCAUGGAGAUCCCUGGGAUAGAAACAAGUGCCUGUGAAUACACGUGUUGAAAUACAUAACAUAUUACAAAGGCAAACCUCAAACACAAAGGCAAACGACGAAUGAAUGCAUACAGAAUAUUCAUGUAUGAUGUAUUGAGACAAUAUUUAUUUCUGGAACUGUAAACAAUGGUAAAGUGCGAAAUGAAAUAGAAACGGAACAAAACGAAUCGAAAUGAAAUGAAAUGGGCCAUUAUAGUGAAACGAUGUACCGCAGAACGAAACGAAAUAAAUAUUUUUUUUACAAUUUCAACUUAAAAUAAAAUUACUUAGAUGUACCAAUAUUAUUAAGGCAAUGGCUACGGUUACAUGGAAAUGUAACAAUAAUAAAUAUUAUUGUUACAUUGGUGACUACAUGCCGGAAUGCAUGAUUAGGUAAGGACCUGAUUAAUUAUGAAUGUACCAAUAACUAUUGAAGCUACAGUUUAAUAUACAUAGUGUUAUUGUAACAUGAUAAACAACAAUGGGACUUGUACUAUGUAAUUGUUCUAAAUAAUAAAAGUUAAAGACAUUUAUUUUAUAUUUACAAUACAUAGAGAUUAAUACAUGGCCUCUUCCAUAUCAGCCUGGGUAUCAUCCCGAGACCCCCAUAUCAGCCCGAGACGGAGUCGAGGUGCUGAUAUGGGUCGAUGGAUGAUGAUACCCAGGCUGCUAUGGAAAAGGCCAUGUAUUUAUCACUUUAUCAUAUACUUCUGACAAUAGUUUUAUGUAAGGCAAAUAAACAAAUGCAAUAACUAAAACAGUCAAAAACUUUAUAAAGAAGUUAAAUUAUGAAUCAAAUAUACUUUAAUUGUCCAACAGCAUCACUACCUCCAUAUAUAUCAUAUAUGUAUGGUAACAUUUGCUAUAGAGGCAUUUUGAAACAUUGAAAAUUUGGAAGAGUUUUAUGAUCAUUACUCCAUGUUUGUUGUACUAUAAAAUGGUUCAUAAUUGCCAAUGGCAUUUGAUAGCAAGUACAAUGUACUAAACUAUCCCCACAAAAAUUCCCAUAAAUUUGACGUCUUCAUAAAAAACGUCACAAUGGAAAAGUAAACAACCGAUACCGAAAACACCGGAAGUAACUUGCACGAGAUGCACCUGAUAUGGGUUAUCAGCCCGAGUUGGAAAUUAUGGCUUGUGUACUUCCGCUCAUUACACAUAUGCAACAGCCAUGAAAGCUAUCAUAUCAAUGCUAAGUAUAUGAUAAAUUAUUUAUAUUAUUACAUACAAUUUUAGUUUAUUAUUUACAAUGACAGCUUCUACAUAUCCAGUAAGUGGUUUUUGUAGCAUGUUCAAGUCCGACACAUUUUUGAUGAAUCAGGCCACUCCAAGCAGCCAUCACUCACCAGUGAUGCCGCUUUGUGAACGUCUGUAUCGCAUACCGUGCAAUUCCAUUCUGAGAUAAGGUAACCUUUUAUGUUUGCCAUGCUUCUGGUGAGAAAUACUUUUUUACUCUAGCAAUGUUGAUAUUCUCAUCCAAUAUUUAGGUUGGAAGCAUUUGGUGUAGUUUCAUGUCGUCUUUUGAUAUGAUCGCAUUGCCAUCCAUUACGGGUUUUAAGUUUACCUCAGAUUUCAGUAUCCAACUUAGCAGUUAGCAAACUUUGCUUUGAUGUAUCAUUUUUUUAGAGCUGCGUUUGUAUCUCAUUGUAUCUAUAGCUGUAUGAAAUUUGUGUCAUGAUAUUGUUUCAGUUUCGUUUCAAACGCAUCCCAAGUUUUAAAUUUUUCAUCCAAAACAAAAUUGGUAAUAGGAUUAAUCUCCUCAUCCAUUUCAAAGUAUACUGACAGUAAUUAGAGCAGUUGUGCAGUUAAAUACUUUAAAUAAAGGCAACAGUAGUAUACCGGUGUUCAAACUCAUAAAUCCAUGGACAAAAAACAAAAUCGGGGUAACAAACUAAAACUGAGGGAAACGCAUUAAAUAUAAGAGGAGAACAACGACACAACACUACAGUGUAACACACACAGAAACAGACCAAGCAUCAGACAAAAUCCCAGAGGCGGAUUUAGAGGGGGGGCCCAGGGGGCCCAGGCCCCCCCCUCUUUGGGAAAAAAUUUGGUUGCUUAUAUAGGGAAUCACUGAAGCAUGACUGGAGCGGGCCCCCUCUUAGGUCAGUCAGUGGGCCCCCACUUAUGAAAAUUUCUGGAUCCGCCACUGAAUCCCACGAGAAUAACAAAUAUAACAUCAAAACCAAAUACAUGAAUUUGGGAUAGACAAUUAAGUACCGUGACACGUCUUAUCGCAAUGUCAAUUUACACUCAAAAAUAAGAGAAAACAAACGACGCAACGUUAAAUUGUAACACACACAGAAACGAACUAUAAUAUAACAAUGACCAUAUUCCUGACUUGGUACAGGACAUUUUUAAAGGAAAAAAUGGUGGGUUGAACCUGGUUUUGUGGCAUGUCAAACCUCCCCUUUUAUAGCCAUGUGAAAUAUAACAUUAAAAUGACAACUCAACACCACAGGACUACAAUAUAAAUAAAUUGGAGAACACAAUUGACAAAGAAACACACGAACAACAGCCAACAAAGGCAACAAGUUCAAAAUUUUAAUACGCCAGAAGUGCAUUUUGUCCACACAAGAUCUAAUAGUGACACCCAGAUACAAAAGUUUGAAAGCCGAAACAAGCACGAAGUCGAACAGCAUCGAGGACCAAAAGAUAACAAAAGUUGUGCCAAAAACGGCCAGGGUUUUCUGUUAAGUUACCAGAGUAUCCCUAUUAUUUAGAAUAAUUUAUACUUUUGCAAACAGUAAAUUUAUAAAAUUACUAUACAAAAGAUGUACAUGAUGAAACUGAAGUAUUAACUAAUUACAGGAAACAACUGAAAAAGUGAACUCUUUUCUCAGUCCGAGUUCUCAACAACAAACCAUUGAACUAUAUUUUUCUCCUUUGGUACUUAAUAUAACUAAUCUGAAGUAGAACAUCAAAACCAUUAAUACGUAAAACUAUUUAAACACCAUUUGUUGAAUAAUAAUAUUCAUUAUUUAUCAUUAUUACAAGUAUUAUAUAGUACAACCAAUCAAUCAGCUAAAUAACAUAUUUCUAUAGAAAUGGCUUUUUUGACCGGCACCAGCAAUAUAGAGAUUGCAAAUAUGUUUUUGCCUACAGGGUGCUUCUCACAAUUUUAUAAUUAUUUUUUUCUUAUUUCAGACUUCAGGCCAUUUUGAAGAAACAAAAGAUGGCAAUUCACAAAGAAAACAAAGAAUUCAUGUCUGAUACUGAAAAACCCCAUGAAUGUACAGUAUGUGGUAAAAGGUUUAGUUUGAGUAAAAUUUUGGAGGAGCACAUGAAAAUUCAUACUAGCGAUAAACCCUAUGAAUGUACUGUGUGCAGUAAAGGGUUCAGUAGAAGUAAUCACUUGAAGAAGCACAUGACAAUACAUACUGGUGAAAAGCCCUAUGAAUGUAUAGUAUGUGGAAAAGGGUUCAGUGGGAGCAAUCAGUUGAAGGAGCACAUGAGAGUACAUACUGGCGAAAAACCCUAUGGAUGUACAGUAUGUGGUAAAAGGUUUAGUUUGAGAUGCAACUUGAACGUGCAUACGAGAACACAUACUGGUGAUAAACCCUAUGAAUGUACAGUAUGUGGUAAAGGGUUUGGUUUGAAUAAAAUUUUGAAGGAGCACAUGAAAAUUCAUACUGGUGAAAAACCCCAUAACUGUACAGUAUGUGGUAAAGGGUUCAGUAGGAGUAAUCAGUUGAAGGAGCACAUAAGAACACAUACUGGACAAAAACCUCAUAAAUGUACAUUAUGCGAUAAAGGGUUCAGUGGAAGUAAUCACUUGAAGGAUCAUAUGAGAACACAUACUAGUGACAAUCUUUAUGAAUGUACAGAAUGCGGUAAUUGGUUCAGUAGGGAAAAUCGCUUGAAGGGGCACUUGAGAACACAUACUGGUGAAAAACCCCAUGAAUGCACAGUAUGCAUUAAGGGAUUAAGUACGAUGCACACCUUACGUAGACAUGAGGAUAUACAUACUAUAUACAUGAUAUAUAAACCUUAUAAAUGUGGAGAAUGUGGUAAAGAGUUUAGUCACGAACAGUCCUUAAUACAACACAUGAAAACACACACUUUUAAUAAUGUGGUUAACAAUUAAUUCAAAGGUUUCACCUAGAGACAUAUGAUAACAAAUGAGGCCCCUCAUGGGGGGGUCAUAGUAAUCACAUAAUCACCAUUUUUUUGCCAAUAUAAUCACAUAAUCAUUAAAUAUUUGCUUAUCUUUAGUAAUCAAAUAAUCAUGAAAUAUUUGGCUUAAUAAUCAAAUAAUCAUUAAAAAAACGGCCAAGUAAUCACAUAAUCAAAAACCCCAUGAGGGCCCUCACAAAUACUGGAGAUAAACCACAUAAGUUUAACAAAUAUGAUUAACAAUUUGUUCAAAGGAUUGACUUACAGAGAGUCGGAGACACAUGAGAAGACAUACUGGAGAUGAACCUUAUAAACGGAUGUGUUUGGACUUUUUUUUUAGUCAAGAGUCAUAGCAGAAAUGCACAUGGAAGGACUGGACACAGUGUAUGGAUUAACCUUUUAAUCCUUAUGAAUGUUAUUUAGAUUAUGUUUGUAUGUUUUGUUUGGUAGAGGAGUCAGUCUUAAGUCAUAAUAUAGAGAUAAAAAUUUACGAACACACAC